GAUACUUCGCCUCCCGCCAAAGCACUCCUCCUCCUCUGAUUGGUUCUCCCGGGGGCGGCCGUCCAAUGGGGAUGACGUAUUUUGGCGCGCGUAGGUAGCGCCGGGCUGAGGAAGGAAGUCGUCGGAGCCCUCGACGCCCGGAGCGCGAGGAUGGCAGCGCGCGGUGUGUAGCCCGGGCCGCGUGGCCUCAGGCCCUCGUCGUCAUCACUGCCCAGUGCAUGUGGGUGCUGGAGACCCGGGGAGGCCCGUGGGCGCCAGGGAGAGACUGCAAAACACGUGUGGACUAAGCCAGCGGUGUCCGAGGGGAAUCGCUGAGGCAGUUGGCCCACCUGUGCUGCUUUGCGCAACCCUUCGGCUAAAGACUGGACAUUAGGAGGAAACAAAGCAACUGGACAAGAGGACCAGAGACAACAGGAGCAAAUUUACUGCCAACACGCUUCCAGGUUGGGUCCGAGCACAAGGCUAAGCACUGGUAUUUUGGAAGGCUUCUCGGCACCCUUGCAACAGUUUUGACGUGAACUAUUUGGACUCUUCAGUGCUACCUGACAGAAAACUACAUAAUUGUACCAGAAAAAGAACACACAGCUGUGCAG